rnacentral:tRNA from 1 species
GGAUGUAGUUCAGGGGUAGAGCUCCUGCCUAGCAUGUAUGAAGGCCUGGGUUCAAUUCCCAGCACUGCA